GGGAUCAUUACAGGACUCGCAAGGCUCCCGUAAACCACUGUGAACUUACCUACAACCCGUUGCCUCGGCGGGUGCUCCGGGCGCGUCUUCGGGCGCUCCGGGGCGCUCCAGCCCGCCGGCGGCCCCUAAACUCUGUCUCUGUAACGUUGGCAUCUCCGAGCAGACUAUAAACGAGUCAAAACUUUCAACAACGGAUCUCUUGGUUCUGGCAUCGAUGAAGAACGCAGCGAAAUGCGAUAAGUAAUGUGAAUUGCAGAAUUCAGUGAAUCAUCGAAUCUUUGAACGCACAUUGCGCCCGCCAGCACUCUGGCGGGCAUGCCUGUCCGAGCGUCAUUUCAACCCUCAGGCCCCGCCUGGCGUUGGAGCCCUGCGCAGCGCAGGCUCCCAAAGACAGCGGCGGGCGCGCCCCGGAACCGAGCGCAGUAAUGCUUUCCCGUUCUGGUCCGGCGCGCGCUCCGGCCGUAAAACCCCCAACUUUCUAAGUGGUUGACCUCGGAUCAGGUAGGAAUACCCGCUGAACUUAAGCAUAUCGAUAAGCGGAGGAA
rnacentral:rRNA from 1 species